UUCCUACGGGAGGCAGCAGUGGGGAAUAUUGGACAAUGGGCGCAAGCCUGAUCCAGCCAUGCCGCGUGUGUGAAGAAGGCCUUCGGGUUGUAAAGCACUUUCAGCGAGGAGGAAGGGUGGUGUGUUAAUAGCACAUCAUUUUGACGUUACUCGCAGAAGAAGCACCGGCUAACUCUGUGCCAGCAGCCGCGGUAAUACAGAGGGUGCAAGCGUUAAUCGGAAUUACUGGGCGUAAAGCGCACGUAGGCGGUUUUUUAAGUCAGAUGUGAAAGCCCCGGGCUCAACCUGGGAAUUGCAUUUGAAACUGGGAAACUAGAGUGUGUGAGAGGGGGGUAGAAUUCCAAGUGUAGCGGUGAAAUGCGUAGAGAUUUGGAGGAAUACCAGUGGCGAAGGCGGCCCCCUGGCACAACACUGACGCUCAGGUGCGAAAGCGUGGGGAGCAAACAGGAUUAGAUACCCUGGUAGUCCACGCCGUAAACGAUGUCUACUAGCUGUUCGUGUCCUAGUGAUGUGAGUAGCGCAGCUAACGCACUAAGUAGACCGCCUGGGGAGUACGGUCGCAAGAUUAAAACUCAAAUGAAUUGACGGAA
rnacentral:rRNA from 1 species